rnacentral:rRNA from 1 species
AUUGAACGCUGGCGGCAGGCCUAACACAUGCAAGUCGAGCGGUAACAGGGGUAGCUUGCUACCCGCUGACGAGCGGCGGACGGGUGAGUAAUGCAUAGGAAUCUGCCCGAUAGUGGGGGAUAACCUGGGGAAACCCAGGCUAAUACCGCAUACGUCCUACGGGAGAAAGGGGGCUCCGGCUCCCGCUAUCGGAUGAGCCUAUGUCGGAUUAGCUGGUUGGUGAGGUAACGGCUCACCAAGGCGACGAUCCGUAGCUGGUCUGAGAGGAUGAUCAGCCACAUCGGGACUGAGACACGGCCCGAACUCCUACGGGAGGCAGCAGUGGGGAAUAUUGGACAAUGGGGGGAACCCUGAUCCAGCCAUGCCGCGUGUGUGAAGAAGGCCCUCGGGUUGUAAAGCACUUUCAGUGAGGAAGAACGCCUGGUGGUUAAUACCCAUCAGGAAAGGCAUCACUCACAGAAGAAGCACCGGCUAACUCCGUGCCAGCAGCCGCGGUAAUACGGAGGGUGCGAGCGUUAAUCGGAAUUACUGGGCGUAAAGCGCGCGUAGGUGGCUUGAUAAGCCGGUUGUGAAAGCCCCGGGCUCAACCUGGGAACGGCAUCCGGAACUGUCAAGCUAGAGUGCAGGAGAGGAAGGUAGAAUUCCCGGUGUAGCGGUGAAAUGCGUAGAGAUCGGGAGGAAUACCAGUGGCGAAGGCGGCCUUCUGGACUGACACUGACACUGAGGUGCGAAAGCGUGGGUAGCAAACAGG